CAAGUAAAUCGGAUAGUCGCAGGUUAAUCGCCUGAGGAAAGUCGGAGCUCCGCAGGGCAAGGUGCUGGAUAGCGUCCAGUGGGGGCGACCCCAAGGCUAGUGCCACAGAAACAGACCGCCGUGAUGGAGACCGGAAAUCAGCAGUAAGAACUGGUAUUGUAUCCUGAUGUUCAGGGAUUUUGCUUUCCGGCCCUCAUUGCGGUAAGGGUGGAAAGGUGAGGUAAGAGCUCACCAGCGUUUAGGCGACUAAACGGCUCGGUAAACCCCACCUGGAGCAAGACCGAAUAGAGGAACCAUGAGGUGGCCCGCCUCGUUCCCGGGUUAGGUCGCAUGAGGUGUCAGGCAACUGGCAUCCCAGAUAGAUGACUAUCUAAUACAGAACUCCGCUUACAGAUUUGCUUGCCCA
rnacentral:RNase_P_RNA from 1 species